UACGGAGGGUGCAAGCGUUGUCCGGAAUCACUGGGCGUAAAGGGCGCGUAGGCGGCUCAUGAAGGCUGUGGUGAAAGUCCGGGGCUCAACCUCGGAUCGGCCGUGGCGACUCGUGGGCUGGAGCACUGUAGAGGCGGGUGGAAUUCCGGGUGUAGCGGUGGAAUGCGUAGAGAUCCGGAAGAACACCAGUGGCGAAGGCGGCCCGCUGGGCAGUGGCUGACGCUGAAGCGCGACAGCGGUGGGGAGCAAACAGG
rnacentral:rRNA from 1 species